AGUGAACGCUGGCGGUAGGCCUAACACAUGCAAGUCGAACGGCAGCACAGUAAGAGCUUGCUCUUACGGGUUGCCAGUGGCGGACGGGUGAGGAAUACAUCGGAAUCUACUUUUUCGUGGGGGAUAACGUAGGGAAACUUACGCUAAUACCGCAUACGACCUACGGGUGAAAGCAGUGGAUCUUCGGACCUUGCGCGAUUGAAUGAGCCGAUGUCGGAUUAGCUAGUUGGCGGGGUAAAGGCCCACCAAGGCGACGAUCCGUAGCUGGUCUGAGAGGAUGAUCGGCCGCACGGGAACUGAGACACGGUCCAGACUCCUACGGGAGGCAGCAGUGGGGAAUAUUGGACAAUGGGCGGAAGCCUGAUCCAGCCAUACCGCGUGGGUGAAGAAGGCCUUCGGGUUGUAAAGCCCUUUUGUUGGGAAAGAAAAGCAGCAGGUUAAGACCCCGCUGUUCUGACGGUACCCAAAGAAUAAGCACCGGCUAACUUCGUG
rnacentral:rRNA from 1 species